GCGAUCGAUGCACUCCGCUCCGUGCGUCGCAACAACCGCGCACCGGUUACUGUCCGUCGCGUUGGCCACGGGUUCCUCCUGGCUCCGACGAAGCGGCGACCAAGAGCUGACUCUGGCACCCGUCCUCGGCUGCUCCUGUGCGAACUACUUACUGGACGCCUUGAUCGUAUGCUAGUGAGUGUGCUGAAGGCUCCACGGCGAUAAUUCAGGGCGAAUACGUGAAGCCGGAGAGAUAUUAUACGAUUAAGGUGCUGUAGGAACUUACGGUCCUCGUCGCACCUGACACCCACGUCGAGGGGCCUGUUUCUGAGAGCAAGGGUUAGAUCAACUGGGCCAUGCUUGAGAGAUUUCGCCAGAUGUCAAAGGUGGAGACUCUUCGAAGCCACAACAUGUCUUAAUUAGGUACCAACAAGUCCUUACUAAUGGAAUUCUGGAAACCUCACGAAAUUUCCCUUGCACCAGCUUUGGAGGAGGAAGAUGAAAGGAAGGCAAAAGGAAGAAAAGAUGUUGGCAAAAUCCUCAAUGCCCUGAUGAGUGUUUUGCCAGUGGGUGACGAUGCAAUGGAAUUCGCGCCUCAAUUUGCUUCUAACAUUCCUGUGAUUCGUCAGACAUCGAAGAGGCACCGGUUGCUACCAACCGCGGGAAGGAGGAACCACCGUAGGCGUCAUACUCGGGUUCUGGGAACUAGGAGGCCCGCAAGCAUUGAAAACCAAUAUUUCACUUUGUUUAUUCUGACAAAGGACGGGCUGCUCAACGAAAUUCGUAUCACCGAUAAGUUGUAAACCAAGUGUGGAACACGCUUUGGUCCUAUGAGCUUAGCCAACUCAUAUUUCUCCUUAAGAAACUAUUUUAAUUAAGUAAUAUUAUUUUUGUAUUAUUUAAUAUUGUAUUGUGUAUUUGGUACCUAUUUAAUUUAAUUUAUUAAACUACUCCCUCUACUU